CUAAAACCGAAACUAUGAGUCCAGGUUCCCGGGGAUCAGCGGGACGGAGAGUGUCGCCCGGCCUCGGCCCUGUCUCCCGCGGUCGCUCCGGAGGGCCAGCGCUCCCAAAGUAGACCGGCUGGCCUCAGGUAAAAAUAAAAAAAAUACUUUAUAAAGUAAUUUCCCUUCUUCAAACUCGGGGGAUCCUGACCAAUCUGCUGGCUCAUGUUUAUUCAUGAGCUCUGCCAGACGACUUCCGGAAGGAUUCGGUAAAAGUAACAAGUUUCAAAUCUAUGUGAGUGUCAUUCAAGUUUUCCAAAGCAAUGUAGUUCACCGAUUUCGCACAUAUAGAAAAAUAUCCCCACCAGAAUAUGAAAAAUAUGCAAAUUCAUGUGAAUGUCCAAAAUGUUCCAUGAAAUUUGAACCACCUUCUACGGUUUCAUUGGAGAAAGUGGAGUCCCGGCCGACCCCUCUCUUUCCGAGACCUCCAUGAGGUCAUCCGUAUCAACCUUGUUGAAUUUAUGACUAUGUUUAAAUGACUUUUUCUCAGAAUGUCUACCUCCACUAAUAUUUCCUCCAGAUAUUGUAUAUUGCCAAAGGAGCAUGGCAUCAAAUGCGUGGCUCUACGGCGCCCUCUGGUGGGAGAUUCUAGCAUCGCCAGAUGCUGUAAGGGAAAUCAUACGGAGGAUUUGCAGCACUCUCCUGUUUCUCGGACAGGGCCGGGUUUGGUUGCUCAGACGGAGCUUCACCUUCCAUACACACCUUGGCGUUAUGCUACUUCGGUCCUGCCAUCUUCCCUUCAAAAGGCGAUCGCGCAUCUACAUUGCAUUGUACGGUAAUGCUCUUUUGCACUGGCGCGGUCAGGUGUGCCUCGUAAACUAAGAAAUAUGCACGUCUCGAAUGGACACGAAAGUUUUGAAUUUCUUAUUUUCCUUUGUUGAAAUACAUACUUAGGUUUUAUCAAUUAUGCAUGCAUUGCUAUAGUAGGCAGGUAUAGGAAUACCAUAUUCUUGUUAUUUGUUAACAUGUCCCCAGGUACCUCUGCGUUGUUUUUCAAGUUCUACUGUUUGACAUUUUAAUAAUUAGGGCCUGGAUGCUAAGGUCAUCCCUAAUGCACGUCUGUUACUAUACAGGCAGUAACAACUGUUAUAUAAUGUGUUCCACUUCUAACCCUUACCAUUGAAUAUUGUCUUCUAACGCUAACUCUAACCAAACAUAACAUGGAGAUAAUUAUCAUUUUGUUACUAAGUGCCAACGUCAUGACUGACCUUUGGAGUUUAAUAAAAUAAAGUAUUUCUGUAGUCUUGCACUGACACAAGGUGGCAGCAAAAUGCAAAAAACAACAAGAUCGAAUAGUUGGUCAUCAUGAGAGGAGGAAGAGGAGACAGUGACGGCAGGAAGAGGAGAGAGUGACGGGAGGAAGAGGAGAUAACAACAUGGGAAGAGGAAGAGGAGAAAACGAUUGGAGGAAGAGGAGAGAACACAGAGGGAGGAGAAAGAGGAGAGUGGAAGGGGAACAGGAGGGGAGAAGGAGGAGGAGGAAUGAGGAGGUGAUUAUGACCCUAGAUGCUUUUAUCACCCAACAGAGGUGGAGAGGGAGAAAGGUCUGGAGAUGGAGCCCUCUGAGCAGACAGGAAUGUCAGCCACGCCAGACUGACAGCGGAAACACAUGACUGGCUCUGGAGUGUUGCACUUCCUCACUGACCCUAACCCUGGUAUCGACUAGCAGGUGGAAACCCAACUCGCAGGACCUCUGAUACGCUCCAACACACACUCUCUCUCUCUCUCUCUCUCUCUCUCUCUCUCUCUCUCUCUCUCUCUCUCUCUCUCUCUCUCUCUCUCUCUCUGUCUCUGUCUCUGUCUCUCUGUCUCUCUGUC